rnacentral:ncRNA from 1 species
AUGGGGAAGCUGAAAACCUAUAAUAGAGUAAGCA